GUUGUCGUGGCCGAGUGGUUAAGGCGAUGGACUAGAAAUCCAUUAGGGGUUACCCCGCGCAGGUUCAAAUCCUGCCGAUAACA